AUGGCGUCAUCGGACACCGGCCGCACGCCGGCGCAAGGCGCGGAAGCCGCCUCCGCCUCCGCCUCCCCCUGGCCUCUCCGCAAGCUCCAGAGCUUUGCGCCAGGGCUGUGGUCACAGUACAAAGCCUACGAGGAUGUGUUUGUCGAGAGGGCUAAAGUUACUAUUUCGGAUGCACUGGUUCUUGCGAGCAAGCAUCAAGCGGAGGCAAUUGGAUGUGCCACUGUCGCAGGGUUCAUCUUGUUCAGAGGAGCUAACAGGUCAGAUCAUCGGAUAUAUUUCGCUUUUAGAGUUGAUGUCGCAAAACCUGUGAAUUUGAUGCAUGCUCGCUCAUGUCUAUUCCGGGUUAAUGGCCCUCGGAGAUUUUUAUACCGCAAUACUCUGGGUCGUUUUAAAACUGAGAAGGAUUUACUGAAUGAUGUUGAACAAAGUAUGAUCGAAUACAAAACAUCUAUUGAGAGCUUGAGAAAGGAUUCCAAAUACACCCUGGACAAAGUAGUCAUUGGUGAAAGUGAUCUGCAGCGUGGCCGAACUGAUUUGAGAUCUACUGGUAAGCAAAUCCAGUCCGUUAUAAGAUCUAUUUACAAAGCAGAAUCCACAGCUGCAGGUUUGAUGGAUCAACUAAGAAUUAUUCCUACAAGACAGUCUCUUGAAUUGCGAGCAGAGGUGGCUUCCAUGGCCUCUGGUUUGAAAAACCGGAGACAUGUCCUGGAAGAAAGGGUGAACCGUAUAUCUGAAUACGGUGUCCGCGUCUGA
rnacentral:rRNA from 1 species